AGACUUUAAAAUAUUCCUCAUCGGGCUUAUAUAGAGGCUGUCAGCUUGCUGACUAUGGCGAUAAAGGACGCAGUGAGUAACUAUUGCGGACCCGGGGGCGGUACCCGGCGCCUCCACCAAUAAGCGCUCUCUAAAUAGAGUGUUUAUUAUUGGGGGCGAAAUAGGAUCGACGUGUAACGAAAAGUGUUAGUCUUUCGCUCAGGAUGGUACCGCUGUAAUGGACCAAUUUUACAUAAAUGCUAACGACAAUGACGUCGAGUUUGCAGUAGCUGCGUAAUGCGGUGAAUGUGAACAACAUUUAUUAAAUUCCUGACCCUCGACAGGUCAGGUGGGGGCUGGUCCACCUAGCAACAGAACGGACCAUAUU
rnacentral:tmRNA from 1 species